rnacentral:rRNA from 1 species
GGGACAACAUUCGGAAACGGAUGCUAAUACCCCAUAGGUGGAUUGGUCGCAUGACGAAUUCAUUAAAGGUGGCUUUGCUACCACUCAUGGAUAGCCUCGCGGCGUAUUAGCUAGUUGGUAAGGUAAUGGCUUACCAAGGCAGUGAUACGUAGCCGACUUGAGAGGGUGAUCGGCCACACUGGGACUGAGACACGGCCCAG